GACAGAGGGUGCAAACGUUGUUCGGAAUUACUGGGCGUAAAGCGCGUGUAGGCGGCUAAGUAAGUCGGGCGUGAAAUCCCACGGCUCAACCGUGGAAGUGCACUCGAAACUGCAUAGCUAGAGUCCUGGAGAGGAAGGUGGAAUGCUUGGUGUAGAGGUGAAAUUCGUAGAUAUCAAGCGGAACACCGGUGGCGAAGGCGGCCUUCUGGACAGUGACUGACGCUGAGACGCGAAAG
rnacentral:rRNA from 1 species